rnacentral:rRNA from 1 species
AUUGAACGCUGGCGGCAGGCCUAACACAUGCAAGUCGAACGAGUGGCGGACGGGUGAGUAAUGUCUGGGAAACUGCCCGAUGGAGGGGGAUAACUACUGGAAACGGUAGCUAAUACCGCAUACCAUCGGAUGUGCCCAGAUGGGAUUAGCUAGUAGGUGGGGUAAUGGCUCACCUAGGCGACGAUCCCUAGCUGGUCUGAGAGGAUGACGAGCCACAAUGGAACGUAGAAACGGGACAGACUCCUACGGGGGGCAGGCGUGGGGAAGAUUGCACAAUGGGCGCAAGCCUGAUGGAGCCAUGCCGAGUGUAUGAAGAAGGCCUGCGGGUUGUAAAGUACUUUCAGCGGGGAGGCGUUACUCGCAGAAGAAGCACCGGCUAACGCCGUGCCAGACGCCGCGGUAAUUC